AAUGAGCUGGAGGCCCAGGCCGACCUUCUGCCGCGGGGAGCUCUAGAGAAUGCUUUGAAGGGUCAUGCCAGCAGCAUACGACAGAUCCACAGAGAACAGGUCGUCCCUAUGGAGCAGGCCAUGAGCACCCUCAGCCAGAGCAUCCGGCUACUGCAGAGGACAGCUGAGGAACUACCUGUGAAGGUGACUAACGUCCUUAGUGCCAUCGACGAAGCAGAGUACCUCAUCACAAACAACGCUUCACGCGUGGUUAAACAGGAGAGAGAUGUCUACAUGCAGAGCCUGGUUGGAUACUUCAGACAGUACACAGACUGGGUCAAAAACUCU